rnacentral:rRNA from 1 species
UGGUGGAGUGAUUUGUCUGGUUAAUUCCGUUAACGAACGAGACCUCGGCCUACUAAAUAGUGGGCAUUUUCUCACGAAAGUGACACACUUCUUAGAGGGACAAUUCAGUUUUACUGGAUGGAAGUUCGAGGCAAUAACA